AAUCAACGCUGGCGGCGUGCCUAAUACAUGCAAGUCGAACGCGAAAGUGGAGCAAUCCAUGAGUAGAGUGGCAAACGGGUGAGUAACGCGUGGGUGACCUGCCUUCGAGUGGGGGAUAACGUUUCGAAAGGAACGCUAAUACCGCAUGACAUCCUGCCUUUUAACAGGUGGAGAUCAAAGCUGGGGAUCGCAAGACCUAGCGCUUGAAGAGGGGCCCGCGUCCGAUAGCUAGUUGGUGGGGUAACGGCUCACCAAGGCAACGAUCGGUAGCCGGCCUGAGAGGGCGGACGGCCACACUGGGACUGAGACACGGCCCAGACUCCUACGGGAGGCAGCAGUAGGGAAUUGUUCGCAAUGGGCGCAAGCCUGACGACGCAACGCCGCGUGGAGGAUGAAGACC
rnacentral:rRNA from 1 species